rnacentral:lncRNA from 1 species
ACCUUUUGAUCAUUGCCUGUUCACAAGGACAAAGAAAGACAGAUUCUUAACAUUACUUGUCUAUGUUGAUGACAUCCUUAUAGCAGGUCAUUCAGAAGAGGAUAUAGCAGAAAUUAAAUCUCACCUUGACAAAGCCUUUACAAUCAAGGAUUUGGGGACGUCAAGUAUUUUCUAGGCUUGCAAAUUGCGCGUUCUGAAAUUGGAUUAUUUCUUCAUCAAAAGAAAUAUUUGUUAGAUAUUCUUCAAGAAACAGGUUGUAUGCAAGCUAAACUAUCUGACAAUCCUCUACCACAAGGAAUCAAACUUGACAAUACAACAGGAACUAUUUUGACCGACCCAGAAAAAUAUAGGAGGUUAAUAGGUAAGUUACUUUACCUCGGAGUCACAAGGCCAGACAUCUCCUAUGCGACACAGCACCUCAGCCAGUUCAUGCAACAGCCGCGUCAACCUCACUGGAACGCAGCACUUCACGUGCUUCGCUAUCUGAAAAGUUGUCCAACACGAGGGUUGUUCUUCCCAGCUCAGAGCGACCUCAAGAUUCAAGCUUUCUCUGACGCUGACUGGGCUUCCUGUCUGAUGACCCGGAAAUCUCUUACAGGCUUUUGUAUAUUCCUCGGACCAUCCUUAAUAUCCUGGAAAACAAAAAAACAGAACACGGUUAGUAAAUCCUCAGCAGAAGCUGAGUACAGAAGCAUGGCCCUCACGGUGUGCGAGCUAAAGUGGAUAACUUACCUGAUGAAAGAGUUUCAUGCCGAUCUGCAUCUCCCUAUUCCUCUUCACUGUGACAACCAAGCAGCCCAACACAUCGCGGCCAACCCAGUUUUCCACGAACGAACGAAACAUCUGGAUAUCGACUGCCACAUCGUCCGCGAGCAACUCUCCAGAGGUUUCAUAUCUACGGUGCACGUACCUUCACGGCAACAAAUCGCGGAUCUCUUCACAAAACCCUUAGGAGCGGCGCAAUUUCAAACCCUUCUGUCCAAGAUGGGUUUCCCCAAAAUUAGGGCAACUCCAUCUUGAGGGGGGCGUGAAGAGAUAUUAUAUACUCCCAAAGCUAAACGACGUCGCAGGAGGGAAGCAAAAACAAGUCAGUGCACCGCCAAAACGAUGCCGCAGAGGAGAAGCAAAACGACGCAGCAUUUAUAGAUUCAAAACAGCACCGUUUCCUGUGGAUGUAAUUUUGUUCCAAGGGAACCCAGAAUAUUCUAGAAAAAUUCAGAGAAGGAGUUAGUUAGAAUUCAGUUUUCCAAAUGUGUAUAUAUAUGCAUGAGAAUUAACAAAUCAAAUAUGUGAAAAUACUCUAUUUUUCAAUCCAAUUUU